AUACAAAAACAGGAGUAGUGUCGGGACAUGGAAACAGAGUCAAUAACGCCUGAUGGGAAAUAACAACAGAGGCCAAUAUAUAUGGGGAGUAAUCAGGAAGGUGGUAGAGCCCAGGUGUAACUGAUGAUGAGGCCCAGGUGUAACUGAUGAUGAGGCCCAGGUGUAACUGAUGAGGCCCAGGUGUAACUGAUGAUGAGGCCCAGGUGUAACUGAUGAUGAGGCCCAGGUGUAACUGAUGAUGAGGCCCAGGUGUAACUGAUGAUGAGGCCCAGGUGUAACUGAUGAUGAGGCCCAGGUGUAACUGAUGAUGAGGCCCAGGUGUAACUGAUGAUGAGGCCCAGGUGUAACUGAUGAUGAGGCCCAGGUGUAACUGAUGAUGAGGCCCAGGUGUAACUGAUGAUGAGGCCCAGGUGUAACUGAUGAGGCCCAGGUGUAACUGAUGAUGAGGCCCAGGUGUAACUGAUGAUGAGGCCCAGGUGUAACUGAUGAUGAGGCCCAGGUGUAACUGAUGAUGAGGCCCAGGUGUAACUGAUGAUGAGGCCCAGGUGUAACUGAUGAUGAGGCCCAGGUGUAACUGAUGAUGAGGCCCAGGUGUAACUGAUGAUGAGGCCCAGGUGUAACUGAUGAUGAGGCCCAGGUGUAACUGAUGAUGAGGCCCAGGUGUGCAUAAUGAUGGGCAGCCAGGACCGGUAGUUAGUAAACCGACGACAUCGAACACCGGAGGGGAGGAGCAGGAGUAGACGUGACUAUGUUUCUGCUUAUAAUUUCCAUCAUUUUAAUAGGCUAUUUGUUAGUCAAAGUGUCUAUAGUUAGAUACAGUGGGGCAAAAAAGUAUUUAGUCAGCCACCAAUUGUGCAAGUUCUCCCACUUAAAAAGAUGAGAGGCCUGUAAUUUCCAUCAUAGGUACACUUCAACUAUGACAGACAAAAUGAGAAAAACAUCCAGAAAAAUCACAUUGUAGGAUUUUUUAAUGAAUUUAUUUGCAAAGUAUGGUGUGUAGACACAAUAGUUAAUGACCUUAAACCUGCACAUCACUGAUUACUUUACUGCCUUGCUGCAUACAUAUGCCCUGUUUUAGAAUAUCUUUAUUCUGUAUAUUUGUAUUAUUUUUACUCUGUCAUUUAGGUCAUUAUUGUGGAGUCACUACCAUGUUGUUGAUCCAUCCUCAGUUUUCUCCCAUCACGACCAUUGAACUCUGUAGCUGUUUUGAAAUUACCAAUGGCCUCAAUGUUGCCAUCCCUGAACAGUUUCCUUCCUGUCCUGCAGCUCAGUUCAGAAGGACAACUUUGUGUGUGGGUGGUUUAAUACAUCAUCCACGGCAUCAUUAUUAACUUGACCAUGCUUAAAUAGGUAUUCAAUAUUUGAUUUGUUGUUGUUACCCAUCUACCAAUCACUGCCUUUCUUUAUGAGGCUUUCGCAAAGCUCCCUGGUCUUUGUAGUUGUAUCUGUUUGAAAUUCAAUAGUUGACUGAGGGACCCUACAGAUGUUGUGUGUAUGGGGGACAGAGGCAGGAGUAGUCAUUUUUAAAAAAUCAUGUCAACCCCUAUUAUUUCACACAGAAUGCGCCUAUGUAACUUAUCAUGUGAUUUUGUUGAGCCAAAUUUGACUUUUGAACUAAUUUAGGUAUCUAAAGGAAAAGGGUGAAUAUUUAUGCAACAACUAUAUAUUUUAGUUAUUUAAUUGUUAUUCAUUUGUAAAUCUUUUUCACUUUGACAGAGUAUUUUGUAUAGAUCAAAGACCCAAAAGUACAAUUAAAUCCAUUUGAAUUCGUAACGCAACAAAAUGUGAAAAAAGUUCAACAGGAUGUAGGCUUUCAACAGGAUGUAGGCCCUGUAUAUUAAAGUACUCUUCAUUUAACAAAAUCUAUAUUUGUGCACAAUUUCUAUUUAAAAUAUUUAUUUUUAAAAAACACUUCAUUGAAACGACCCAUCUAUUACUGUUGGCCAACAACCAACCAAUCACUUGUCAGACCAUCACCGAUGAUUAUCUAUGUUUAUCAACACUAAUUACGUCUCAAAUGUGUAGUAUAUUUGUCUGUGAAAUUCAGACAAUUUAUACAUUCCACAUAAUUGGUUUUACAAAGAGAGGAUUAAAGACACUGGUAUUUUAAGCCUGCAUUUAAAAUAAUGCAAUCUGGGAGGGUAGUGGGAGAGCAGAGCGAGAGCAAUAGCAUGUUUCCAGACUGCAUUCUUCAGACCUGGAUGCCAGAGCAGUGUUUGGGUUGGCUCACGCGUCAGCCUUAGGCCUAGACUUCUGACUAUUAGAUUUGAAAUCCAGCUGUGUUUUUAAUUCGAUGAGAGAGUGCAUCGUCACACUCAUUGUUUCUUGAUAUGAUUUAAUAUAGUGACACUAUAAACCAUCUGGUACAUAAAGAUUUCAUCCACCAGCCAGCUCUUUCUCUUCUGAGAUUGAGCCUGGGGAUGAGAUUAGUU